AUGAGGUCCACCCAGUCCAAAAUCGCGCAAAACACCCCUUUAGGGUGCCUCCUGCACAACCUCCCAACUUUACAACUCGACCAAGAUUUAAAACGAAAGCGACUAAUUUUCUUCUGCAUGGUUGCCUGGCCGCAAUAUACCUUAGACGACCAAUCUCGCUGGCUCCCCGAAGGCACACUCGACUUCAGUAUCCUAAACGACCUUACCAAUUUUUGUCAGAGGCGAGGCAAAUAGUCAAAAAUCAAAUUUGUUCAAUGGUUCUGGGACCUCCACUCUCGUCGGACCACUGCCACCAAGUGUUUUCGCUGGUGCAAGUCCCUCUGGUUAGCCUUCCACUUGAAGUGUGGCUAGCCUCUCUUGCCGUUAAUCCUGUCCGCGGCCCCCAUCUUAGUCUCUCCACCGCCAUCUCCUUCUGCACCGCCGGAGGGCCCCCAAACCCCUAUGCAGGACUUAGUAAAGCUGGCGUUCAAAGUUUUUAAUUCCCGAGAGGAGGCGGCUGAGGUACAAUGACAGGCAAGACUGAAAUAAAAAGUUCAGCUCCAAACACAAGCCCUG
rnacentral:lncRNA from 1 species